AUUCGAAACGAAAUCUCCCAUCCCGACCUGAAAUGAAAACGUGCAGAAAUCGAAAACCCUAACCUUCCUUAUGUUCUUCCUUAUGUUCUUCAUCAGUUCUCACAACUGAAAUCGAAAACCUCUCAACUCAGUUCAUCAGUCAUCGUAAGUUUAGUGUUCUGCUUCGAGCCCUCCUGCGUCGAGCUCGAUCAUCACAAGUUUCGUCUUCUCCUUUGAGCGGUAGAGUCGGCUCCAUCCUCUUCUCCUUCGAGUGGCAGAGUCCAUACUAGAGUCCUUCCUCUUCUCCUUCGAGCGACAAAGUCCAAAGUCUCAGAAGAUUCCUCUUCUCCUUCCGUCAUUCGAGCGGCAGCUUCUGUGAUUGCAGAGUCUAGACCAAAGUCUCCAGCGUCCAGACUGACGAUGGUGCGGCAACGGUUCGAGCUCGGUUGAUUUGCACGGUGACUUGUUGUUGCUGAAUGCUGAGGGAUUGGUUGGUUAUUUUUGUUGAAAAUGAAGAUUGAAAUGCACGUAGACUUCUUGUUGCUGAAUGCGAGUUAUUUUUUAUGGUUGGUUUUGCUGAGAUUCUGAUAAUGAAAUGCUCGGUGAAUUCUGCACAGUGAAUGCUGAGGCUUUUUUUUUUUUAACUUUGCUGGUUAUGGCUAUCUGAAUACGUGCUUGAUGAAAGACAAUAUUUUGGAUGUUUUUCAUUUUGCCUAAUACGCCUCCUAUGAGGCAAGAAAUUGGAUUAAGGAUGUAUAUGCCCUGCGAGGGAUUCUUUUGUUGCAAACAAGGGUGCUUCAUGUAAGAGUUUGGUGUAACAUUUUUUAUUCAUGAUGUAAGAGCUACUAUUUUGGAACUUAAUGCAGUAAUGCUUUUGACAUUA